CUGGGCAUGUGCCUGGUACAGGCACAGAGCUAUUUGGAGAGGGGUGAUUUGGAGCAGCAGACCGAGAUGGACUGUGUAAAAGAGGAAUUGAAAAGAGAAAGACAGUGAACAUGUUUUUUGGAACAAAGAAUUGAAAUUAUGCUGGCACGAGUGAAAAAAAAACCCAACCCAGUGUUGUCCAAAUUCAGAAGUUGAUUGCAGGCACAGACCUUCGGGACUGGGGCAGUGAUCUCUGGGGAGAUUCUGACGAGAGCUGUUCUGAAGAGGUGGAGGAACUGGAGGAAAGGAAUGUGUGAUCUCCAGAAAGGCAGAGGGGCCCACGAGGCAGCAACCCCUAAACCAUGAUCCACACAGCUCUUGGUCGGGACCUCAGCUCAGGGAAUUGCAAAUGGAGCUUUCUAGCAAGCCUGGUGCAUCGGUCUGCCUGUCUCCACCUAACGCAGCAGAGCAAUCUGAAUAAGGGAACAAGGAAAACAGUGAAGACAGGAAAACUUUCUACUGAAGGAAGAAGUAGUUUUACCCUUUAAAAGGUUCCCUGACACACUUUUCUCUCCUUUGUGAUCAACUGAAAUACAUGUUCGUGGUCCCUUAUGGCAAAGGUUUGUAAUAACUAAACCUUAAGUUAAAACAAUAUGCCAUUGGUUCAAGAUUUUGAUCUAAUUCAGAAUGGCAGCAAUAUAAUUACUGUAUCAGAAUUACAUUGUUCAUGGAUUGCUGGGUAUUUUAAUUUUUGAGAAAUUAAAUUUUGAUAUCAAAUGGUUCAUUUAAAUAUAAUAAGAUUUAAUACUUAUUAGAUUAACUAGAACAAUAGGGAAUAAUAAUUAUUGUUUACACUGCUCCUGCACUCUUCUUGACCUCAUUUUCUAUCCUUCUCAUUAUGUGUCCCUGUGGAUUCUCUGGCAGGCUUCCUGUUCCUGUUGCUUAUGAAGAAAGAUUGAGAUUUAGUUUUGAUAUUCUUCACCAGACUUUUUUAAAUUCUUUUUUUUUUUUUUUGUCUGCCUUGAUAUGUUUACAUCCUCCUAUUUUCAUCAUUUAGACACAGCAGGGUUUUUCAUGGAUGUCUGUAUACAUUACACUUUAUAGAUGAAGAAAAACAGAUGGCAUUUCAAGUGUUUCAUGCCAUGUGAGGCUGACCUACUUUUUUUUUUUGUAGGCAGGGCUAAAAUAUGUUCGAGAAGGAUGAUGUUGGCAGCAUACCAGUUAAUUUACUAUCAGCCUAUCUGUAAAAAGAUCUUGCAGGGGCUGAACAGUGUGCUGUUUGCUCUUCUCAAUGUAGGUGUUACAAUGCUCAAUAUUACCUGAUCUUUAUUAUUACAGAAAAUGACCAAUAUCAGAAAAAUGUUCCAUCCAUUCAACAUGAAAUGAUCCAGCAUACUCUACCAACUGCACUAUGAGCUGCCUGUUUCUAGCAGAUAUUCUGAGAAAUACCAUUACUUGCAAACCUAAAAGUUGCAGAUGGGGAUAUGCCUUGGGAGAGAGGAAAGCUGUGUAGGCAAAUUCAUCAAAAGUAUCAAAACUCUGAGACAUGAUCCUAUUCAGAGAUACGUUAGCUUUUUAAAAGAAAAUGUUUUGUCAGAGUGGGUUUGAAUGUGUUGUGGGGAAGAAUUUCUCAGAUUACAAUAGAAUUUCCUUAGAAGAUCACAAGCUAGCAAAUAGCCUGGGACUAUUGAGGCUAUUUGCUUAAGUGAAAUGGAUGCUGGGGCACUGACCCCACGUCUACCUGUUUUAGAGAAAGAAACCAGACAAUAAAACAGGUGUUGUAGUGUGGGGUGGAUUGUUUGUACUUCAUCUCAGGUGAGGUCAUGACUGAGAAAGUACUUUCAGUCCUUAAGUGUUAUGCAAAUGUCAAGUGGAGCUAUAGAAGAGAAACAAGUUAUUAUGUAUUACUCAUGCUUCUGGAAAAUCCAGGGCUUCACUACUGAAAGAUGCUGUUUCCACUGAACUUCCUGCUGUUCCUCUGACAGAAAGGGAAACAGGCAUGACUUAGAUCAUGAACCCAAAUGAUUCUAUGAUUCUGCAUGGCAAAUGGACAUUCUUUGAUGUGUUUCUUUUCUAAUCUGUGACUACAUCUAGUGUCUAGAUUCUUCACAUACAGCUAUACUGGGCAUUUUGGGACAGCCUCGGGAAAUCUGAAGUGCUCUAUGCAAGCUAGCUGGGAUAUCGGAGGUAGGCUAGUCACAUCGUAGAAUUCUCUGUUGUGAAUCCAGUGUACAUGCAAAACAGAACUUAACUGCUCCCAGAAAGUGAGAGAGAUUAAGGGUUAGUUCAGAAAUUUUACAUUGCCAUGCCGUGUAUGUGUGCCCAGUGUAAAAGAGAAGAGGAGGACAGGUGCAUUUGAUGGGAUAAAAUGGAUUGGCAACUUCAGCUUUGUUUGAUGAAAGAAAAAUAACUUACGUAAAACACGUUUCCAAUACAACUGCACCCAUCAUGACUCUGACUCAUCUAGAGAAAGAAUGGAGGAAAAAAAAUUGUAUGCAUAUAUAAAAUUUCUUCAUAGGAGAGUGUGAAUGCAGUAACAUUCUGAAGUCUGGACUGAAUUAGUUGAAGACAUCUUGAUUCUCUGCUGUUCAUGCAUGCAACAUGACUAUUUUGAAAACCAAGUAUGUAUGUGAUACUUAAGUCUGUAUUUGCAUUGCUUUGUUCUUGACGUGCAUUUGGCACUGUUCCUCAUUUCAUCAAUUUUCUAGCCGAACUAUGAUCUCCAAUUACAUCUUUCAUCCUGCCAGUACAAAGCAGAGCUUGUCUAAAGUCAACAGAUUAGUUUACAUGACACCCAGUAUCAAUGUACCUUCCGUGUGUCUGUCUUCUAACAGCAGGUUAGUGUGACAUUCAUUACCUCCCCCAUGUUAAAUCCUGAUCUUUGUGCUUCCAGAUGAUUAAUCCCCUCCUGCUCCUAGCUUCUUUAUCAGACAACCCCAUACUUCUUCUUUCUCCUUUCUUCCAAAAGCAACUAGAAUAAUUUUUCCAUUGCACUGUGGUCUUCUUUAGAAGUAACCCUGACCUGGUGGUGAUGUGCAUAAGGAUCCAAGCUUACUUUUUUACCACAACAUUGCUAGAAUACAAAAAAGUCCUCUGGGAUCAGUAAUUUCACUAAAGUAAUGAAUCCAAUUUGCUUGCUUCCAGAGAAAUGUGUGCACUUCAAUUAAUACGAACAGAAUGUCUUGCAACAUUUCAGUUUUCAAAUGCUUUAUAUUUUAUUUUUCCAUGUUUAUGUAUCAACAAGAAAGCCCUCUUGCAUUCAUGCUUAAAGGCAUGCUGCCUUUAAAUAAAGAAUGAGCUUCUGGACGAGUUUCAUAGAAUCAUAGAACCAUAAAAUGGUUUGGGUUGGAAAAGGACCUUAAGAUCAUCCAGUUCCAACCCGGAUGCCUAACAUUAGACCAUGUCACCAAAGGCUCUGUCCAACCUGGCCUUGAACACUGCCAGGGAUGAGGCAUUUACCACUUCUUUGGCAGCCUAUUCCAGUGCCUCACCACCCUCACAGUAAAGAACUUCUUCCUUAUAUCUAACCUGAACUUCACAUCUUUAAGUUUGGAUCCAUCGUCACCCCUUGUCCUAUCGCUACAGUCCCCAAUGAAGAGUCCCUCUCCAGCAUCCUCGUAGGCCCCCUUCAGAUAGUGUGAGGCUGCUAUGAGGUCUCUAUACAGCUUCUCUUCUCCAGGCUGAACAGCCCCAACUUGUUUUAAAGACUGCACCAGAGCAUUGCAAUUGAAUGCUAUUUCCUUCUCCCUCCUUAAUUCUUUUUUGCCUGUUCUUUAGUACCUGUUUAAAGCAAGACAUGGGGCUUUUCAAAGCUGCAAAUACAAACAUGACACAUUCUUAGCUGUCUUCAGCCCUCAUUACAAUUAAUGAAGCAGCUUUCUUCACAAUGGGACUGCCCUGUUUGCACACCACCUGCCUGCCAUGAGGAGUUGUCACUUGAGUGUCAGGACAUUCUGUGAAGUUUUGUGCAAUAGUACAAAGUAACUCACUAACUCAGUGAGAAUAGACAGACUCGGUGGGAAUAGCGGGAAAACUGUCCUAGAUGUUCCAGCCGCACCCAGGGCAGUUUUCUGUAUGUCCUAACUUGGUCAGCAGAAAGCUUCCGGGAAAGAUGGGUAGGUAAGGUGGUUAGGCAUGGGUAGUUUAGGUCAUCACCUAUGCUGACGGAAAGAAUAAUCACUGUACGGCUGAAUCAUCAGCAAGAACGUAUUAGAUCGUGGGAAGUGAAAUUGAUAGACUCUGGCUUUCAACAGUCCCACAUCCAUUUGUACCACAUCACUAUAAUAGUCCUCAUUUCCUUCUCAUGCCCCUUACCACUGAAAUAACUUCAGGCCCACUCUCUGCAUUGCCUAACACCUUUUUCAGUGCUCCUAGCUCUCUUUCAUGUCCCUAAAUAUUCCUACAGUAUAUUCAGCUUCCUCUUUCCACUCAUUACCUGUUUGUCUCAGGAAGAGGAAGAGAAACGGAAAUUGCCUGUUACUUCCCCUAGGUUACCUACCUAGGGAUUGGCUACCUUAUUUUGGAGGGUUUUUGUGUUUUGGUUUUUUUUUUUUUAAUCUUUCUUUUCUUUUCCUAUGUAAGCAUGAGUGCAGCCCCCCACUACUAUAGAUUCUUUAGUUUCCUGUGUUCAGGCUGUAUUACCAAGACUGUAGCCAACAUGUCAAGGAAUCCAUUUCUGAUCUGUUCAGCAGUUGUGAGACUACAGAUGAAAUUUUGUGUCCAGAUUUGAUUCUCCAUCCUUGAAGAUAUUCAAAACAUGACUGGACAAGCUUUCAUGCUAGCCCUGCUUAAAAGGAGAGAUUGGACCACAUAAUGCCAGGAGGUCCCUUUCUAUCUGAGUUAUUUUAUGAUUCUAUAUCUUCAUGAUUCUGAAACUUCUUCUCAGUCAGAUUUACUAAAUACUCACAAACAGGGUUGCAAGUUGCUUGAUGGGGGAAGCUAGGAUGGAGGGAAAAAGCAGACUGACAGACAGAUGAGUGAACAAAUGAAGUAAUGCUAUCAGAUUCCUUCCCCUAGAGAUAUGCUCAUCCUGACCACUGGCAAAAAUGUUAGUCAACUAGCCAACACCAUUCCUUGCUGAAUGUUACUAUGUGGAGUAAGAAAUUUGGAUUAUGAUUAGGAAUUUCCUUCUGUGCCAUACUGAAUGCAGCUAUAGUCUGAUGUUGUAUGAUAACUGUCCAGGCCCCUAUGCAGGCAUACAUUAGCACUGUGUUAUGAUUCCUUCUGUUUUGUGAGAUGUAUCUACAGGAGAUCUUCACAGAACAAGGAAAUACUUAAGCAGUGGCAAACACUAACAGGUUGAAACAUUAAGGAACAGCCAGUGACAAUGAUGAUAAUCAGAGAGGUAGGCUUCAAUAAAGCAUUCAGAUGGGCAGGAACCGGUUUGGCUUGCAAUACCUCACAAAGCUAUGUGAAAUACGAGAGCUUUCCUAAGCUAUUGUUUCAGGGUUCAAGGGGUGUGAGAACAGACAGCAGAGGAAGAUGAAUCUAUGCAAAUUUUAUGUAGAUAUCUUUUGUUAGAAUAUGACUGAAACCAUGGAGGAGGAGCACCAUCUCAGGCCAGUUUAAAAGCCAGAAGACGGGCUGUCCACUUGAGAUCCAUCUCUCUUUCUUCUUCACGGACAGAGAUGUGGUCAAGGCUUCUUCUGAGUAUUCUGUCCUUGAACUGGAUUGCCACGGUGUCUUCUGAACCGUAAGAGAUCAUACAUUCUGUGUUUUUAUGAUAAUAUAUUUUAUUAUAUUUCUCUCUAGUUUAUUUCUCCUAGGACACUGCUAUAUAAUGAACUGGAUGUUUGAGACCUCAGUUCUAAAAUGUGUCUGAAGUGGAAGUAGAUGGCAUUGAAGAAUGAUUUAGAAUGAUGCUCUCCAUCAUAAAACUGCUAUUAAAUCUGAUUUGAAUGAAAGAAACCUAGAACUGGAGUAGAUGAAGUCUUAAGUUCAUGGAUAAAGCGGAGAGGAGGUUCGAUACUAGACUAGCAAGUGAUACUAAUGAUCAGGAUUGAUAUGCAUCAGCAGUACAGAGAGAGCAUGUUGUAUGAGGAGGUGCUACAGGCCAGAUAAUGGCUGGUAUUAGGGACUAUGCUGACUGACAAUGCUAAUAUUAGUAUUAAUGUAAGAAUGAGUAUGAAGUAUUAGUAUUACACCUGCUGUGCUCUGUCAAUGUCCAUGGCUUUAUACAAACAGUUUUCAGCCACAAUAUUCAAAAAUACAUCAACAUUAAAGCUUAAAUCCUCUUUUCAAAAGUUUUAAAGGAAAAUACUGAAAGUCAGAGGGGUUUAGCUUUCCCAGAUCACUGUUCAUUUCAAUCAUUUUACUUUUGGUCUUUGAAUAUCAUGCAGUCUGAACUGGGCAAGUGAAAAUAACAAUAAAGGCAAUAUAAGCAAGAAAAGCUGUGGGAGAAAAAAAAAAAAAA
rnacentral:lncRNA from 1 species